rnacentral:rRNA from 1 species
GGGUAGCCGGCCUGAGAGGGUGACCGGCCACACUGGGACUGAGACACGGCCCAGACUCCUACGGGAGGCAGCAGUGGGGAAUAUUGCACAAUGGGCGAAAGCCUGAUGCAGCGACGCCGCGUGAGGGAUGGCAGCCUUCGGGUUGUAACCUCUUUCAGUAGGGAAGAAGCGAAAGUGACGGUACCUGCAGAAGAAGCACCGGCUAACUACGUGCCAGCAGCCGCGGUAAUACGUAGGGUGCGAGCGUUAUCCGGAAUUAUUGGGCGUAAAGAGCUCGUAGGCGGUUUGUCGCGUCUGUCAUGAAAGUCCGGGGCUUAACCCCGGAUCUGCGGUGGGUACGGGCAGACUAGAGUGCAGUAGGGGAGACUGGAAUUCCUGGUGUAGCGGUGGAAUGCGCAGAUAUCAGGAGGAACGCCGAUGGCGAAGGCAGGUCUCUGGGCUGUAACUGACGCUGAGGAGCGAAAGCAUGGGGAGCGAACAGGAUUAGAUACCCUGGUAGUCCAUGCCGUAAACGUUGGGCACUAGGUGUGGGGACCAUUC